rnacentral:rRNA from 1 species
AUUGAACGCUGGCGGCAGGCCUAACACAUGCAAGUCGAACGAGUGGCGGACAGGUGAGUAAUGUCUGGGAAACUGCCUGAUGGAGGGGGAUAACUACUGGAAACGGUAGCUAAUACCGCAUACCAUCGGAUGUGCCCCGAUGGGAUUCGCUAGUAGGUGGGGUAACGGUUCCCCUAGGCGGCGAUCCCUAGCUGGGCUGAGAGGAUGACCAGCCACACUGGAAAUGGGAGACGGUCCAUACUCCUACGGGAGGCAGCAGUGGGGAAUAUGGCACAAUGGGCGCAAGCCUGAUGCAGCCAUGCCGCGUGUAUGAAGAAGGCCUUCGGGUUGUAAAGUACUUUCAGCGGGGAGGCGUUACCCGCAGAAGAAGCACCGGCUAACUCCGUGCCAGCAGACGCGGUAAUAC